rnacentral:rRNA from 2 species
GAUAUGAACUCUCCGAAAAAAUUACGCUGUUAUCCCUAAGGUAAGUUAAUCUUAUAAUCAAAAAUUCUGGAUCAAAAAAACAUAAAUUAAUGAAUAAAAUAUUAAAAGUUAAAUAAAUUUUAAUGUCACCCCAACAAAACUUUAUAUUCUAAAAAAUUAUUUAAUAAACAAAAAAUAAUAAUUAAUAAAUAAAGUAAACUUCUAUAGGGUCUUCUCGUCCUAUAAAAAAAUUUUAGCUUUUUAACUAAAAGAUUAAAUUCAAAAUAAUUAAAAAAAGAAAGUUUAUUUUUCAUCAAACCAUUCAUACUAGCCUUCAAUUAAAAGACAAAUGAUUAUGCUACCUUCGUACAGUUAAAAUACCGCAGCCUUUUAAUUCAUAAAAAUCAAUGGGCAGGUCUGAUCUUAAAUUAAAAUCAAAAGACC